AGACACACUUAACCAACUGGGCCACCCAGGCACCCUUCAGUUCACGUGACAUACCUUGGGAAAUUUUCAAGUCAAGCAGAUCGUCCCAACCUGCUUCAGACCACGGGUCAGCCAAAGAAAAGGUAAAAGCAGAAACCCCUGAGGGCUGAAUAGCCCAAAGACUGUGAUUUCUCUGUGGGGAAGGGUUUCAAAAAAGAUGGAGAGAGAAUGAAACGCCUAAUUUUACUACACGCUAAUGUUGGGCGGCUACCUGGCAUGGAGAGCAAAGCAUGCGCCUGCGGGUAGCUGUACAGAUUACUUUGAGGGGG